CUGCGGAAGGCAUCAUUAGUGAAGAUUUGGGCAGCCCAUACGGACGCCACAAAGUGUCCCUGCCCGCCUACACCCAAUAUAACAUCCACAAACCCGUGUGCUCUGUCCUUGGAAGGGGCAUUUGGAGAGAAAAAGGAAGAGAAGCGAGAACAGUGCGAUCCGUCGCGUUGGGCGUUGAUCUCUGGCUUGGUCUCUCUGAGGCCCUUUCCUCGCUACAAACUCGAAUGGUUAGUAUGAACGUGGAACUUGGUUGGACCGUCACUGGCCAACAAACUAUACAC
rnacentral:misc_RNA from 1 species